rnacentral:RNase_P_RNA from 1 species
GGAGUCGGCCAGACAGUCGCGUCACGCAUCGCGUGCCGAGGAAAGUCCGGGCUCCACAGGGCAGGGUGCCAGGUAACGCCUGGGCGGCGCGAGCCGACGGACAGUGCAACAGAGAACAGACAGCCGAACGGCGUCGCAAGACGUGCGUGGUGAUGGUGAAACGGUGCGGUAAGAGCGCACCGCCUGCGGGGCCAACGCCGCAGGGCACGGCAAACCCCACCCGGAGCAAGACCAAAUAGGGGGACCAUGGCGCGGCCCGCGUCGUCCCCGGGUUGGUCGCUCGAGCCUUGCGGCGACGCAAGGCCCAGAGGAAUGACUGUCCACGACAGAACCCGGCUUACCGGCCGGCUCCGCUU